AUUAAAGGUCAAGGUCACAGUGGCCAGAACAUCAGUAACUUGAGAAGCAUUUGAUCUAGAACCUUCAAACUUCAUAAGAUGAUAGGACUUAGGGAGUAGAUGACCCCUUUUGAAUAUUGGGGUCACUUGAUCAAAGGUCAAUGUCACAGGGGCCAUCCGUCUGUCACACUAUAUUUUUGAUCAAUAACUGGAGAACCAUUUGACCUAGAACCUUCAAACUUCAUAGGAUGGUAGGGCUUACAGAGUAGAUUACCCCUAUAUUUUUUUGGGCUACUAGUUAAAAGGUCAGGGUCACAGGCUCAUUGACAUUCGCUUCUGUCCCCUAUUGUCUUCUUGCCUAUUACUAUGCCAGGGGUGCAAGUUUUCCGGAUUUCCGGUUUUUCGAGGGUCCGAGAGAUCAUUUUUCCAAAUCGUGUAAAUCCGUUGAGAAAUUGGGGGGGGGAUGGACGCGAGACCACGAAGACAGAAACUGACCGUUUCGCGGAGGUGCAAGUGCAGGAGCAGUUGCCGUUCGUUGCAAGGGAAACAACCAUUUUGCGACUUCCCGUACACCGUUCUCGCGCGCGCACUCUUCAAAAAUCCCAAAACGCAUAAUAUUUGUUCGAAAAUAUCCAAUAUAUGCAAUUUCUACGGCCCGGUACGGACAUGAAAGUGUUGGACAAGGAGUGUAAAAAUAAAGUAGAGAUGGAAUUGGAUGAAUUAGAAGGACUCGUCUGGCAACAAAUACGAGAGUUGGUUGAAAAAAACAACAACAGACCUUCCAGCCGUAAUAUGGAAAAACGAUGAUCAGUCGUCGGGGAAAAAAGGCAGUGAAGAAUCAUUCAAAGGAUAAAGCACACCAAAACUGUAAAAACUAUUCAGGUACUUCCUGGCUGUAGAUUCUCGUUUAGAGUCAAUGCAGGAGAGAAUCCUUACUACAGCAGUUGUAAGUGAACAUUGUCUGCCUUUCUCUCUGGCAGGUGACAUCAUAGAUCUAGUGAAAUGACUUGCUGAAGACAAGGUAGCACUAGAUAAAAUAAAAUUUUUUUAUCCAGGACCAGUGCAGCUUAUAUGUGAAUACUCAUAAGGAAAAUUUUGUGUCACUGAACAUUGAUGAGGCAACUAAUAGAAAUAUUGACACAGUGCUUAACAUUAUAGUGCAGUAUUAUGAUGAAGAGUCAAACAAAGUUGUAUUUGACCACUUAGGUUCAAGAAUUCCGAAUGUUGCUGCAGCUGCUGAAAUUGUGAAGUCUAUAGAAAGUGUUCUGUUAGAUUAUGAAAUAAAGUGGACACAAGUUGUAAAUGUUUUGAUGGACAACUGUAGCAUCAUGAGGGGAGUGAAAGGAGGAGUUGGGGAAAAUUGAUUGUCUUCUUGAUGUUAGUGGGGACACGGUUUACAUGAUAAGCAAUGUGGCCAAAACAUUGAUGAAAAAUGUAGACAGUGUUCUUCAGAGUAUUUGCUUUGACCAAUACUAUGAGGUAGAGAAGUCCUCAAAAGUGAAGGAAAUUUUAAAUGAAAGGAUGACUUUGAUGAAUGCUGAAAUAUCCAAGCAUCUUACUAGACCAAUCAGCAGCGGAUUUCUCCAGAUGUACAAUGUCACCUCAAGGCUGGUAGAAGUGUUUUGACUACCUAACUGUUUAUUACGCAGCAUUUCUCACUGACUGGUAUUAUAAGUGAACUAUAGUUAAAACCUAUUAAGAUUAUUAUUACACCCCUGUUAGGACUUUUAAUACACCAAUCCUACCAUGUAAUUUUCACAGUCAUUAAUUAAUUUAUAAAUUAAAGAAAUGUGUUACUUGAAUUAAUGGCAUUUCUAAUAAAAAAAGUAAAUAAAAACCUUUGUAUAGAUGUUCUUGAAAUAUUUUGUUAUUGUUAUAAGUGACAUAAUCUAAUAUCUUGCUAGAUUCAAUAGUAUUAGAAAUUUUAAGAUGAAAUACUCUGUGUAGAUACACUCCUAGAAGAACCUCAAAAAAUGAUUUGUAUGACUCUGAAAUUACUAAAAUUUCACAGCUUCCGGGUGCCUCCGGCCCCCUGGACCCCUGGCCAGGGCUUUGCCCUGGACCCACCGGGGCCCCAUGCGGCCCCCUGGCCCCCAGCAAUAUUUUCAGGUUUUUCAAAAUUUUAUACUUGAACCCCUGCAGUAUGCACUGGGGGAGACAUGUGCUUUUCUACAAAAGCAUCUUCUGGUUACUUAAUCAUCUCUUUUUGAAACAACUGGUCAGAAUUACCUGAAACUUAUUUCCUAAUUUCUUUGUUUGGAUCUCCCUCAGAUUUGUUCAGUGGUUCCACUAGACCUUUUAGGGGACACCUGGUCCCAAUUUCACGAAAAAAUCUUAAGUAAUUGCUUAGCUAAGUCUGUUAUUUCAAAUGCUUGUUUUUGCCUGUUAUGCGUCUUCAAUGUUUACUUUUUCAUCUAUAUGAGAACAGGAUAUGACUAUUUCAUAGAUCAAAGCACAAUUCUGAAUUUUACAGGAAACAAAGUAUAGAAAUAAAAAAAUAUACUUGAGCAAAUACUAUAGUGCUUAAAUAGAAAUAUCAUAUUUGGACGACUGAAAUAAGUAGUGCAUACUAAUACUACUAAUUUGCUACAGGAAAAAAAUCAACAUUAAAUAACAAUAACUUACGCAAUAGCACAAUUUUCAAAUAACAGACUUAACCAAGUAAUUUUUCCCCCUGAAAUUGGCGCUAAGCUAAAAGUAGAAAAAAAGCAUUUAUACACCUUCUCAGGAACCACUUGAUUGAUCUUCAUCAAACUUGGUCUGUUGCAUCCUUGCAUGGACCUCUUUCAAGUUUGUUCAAAUAGUUCUGCUUGACCCCUAGGGCCAUCAUAGCAAAAAGUGUAAAAUCUGUAUAUUAUUAUUAUAUGUGAAUAUUCAACAGAAUAGUAGCUAGUCUUAA